rnacentral:rRNA from 1 species
AGUCGACGUGAAAGUCCUUCGGGACGAGUAAAGUGGCGCACGGGUGAGUAACGCGUGGAUAAUCUACCCUUAAGAUGGGGAUAACGGCUGGAAACGGUCGCUAAUACCGAAUACGCUCCCGAUUUUAUCGUUGGGGGGAAAGAUGGCCUCUGCCUGCAAGCUAUCGCUUAAGGAUGAGUCCGCGUCCCAUUAGCUAGUUGGCGGGGUAACGGCCCACCAAGGCAACGAUGGGUAGCCGGUCUGAGAGGAUGACCGGCCACACUGGGACUGGAACACGGUCCAGACUCCUACGGGAGGCAGCAGUGGGGAAUAUUGCGCAAUGGGCGAAAGCCUGACGCAGCGACGCCGCGUGAGGGAUGAAGGUUCUCGGAUCGUAAACCUCUGUCAGGGGGGAAGAAACCCCCUCGUGUGAAUAAUGCGAGGGCUUGACGGUACCCCCAAAGGAAGCACCGGCUAACUCCGUGCCAGCAGCCGCGGUAAUACGGAGGGUGCAAGCGUUAAUCGGAAUCACUGGGCGUAAAGCGCACGUAGGCGGCCUGGUAAGUCAGGGGUGAAAUCCCACAGCCCAACUGUGGAACUGCCUUUGAUACUGCCAGGCUUGAGUACCGGAGAGGGUGGCGGAAUUCCAGGUGUAGGAGUGAAAUCCGUAGAUAUCUGGAGGAACACCGGUGGCGAAGGCGGCCACCUGGACGGUAACUGACGCUGAAGUGCGAAAGCGUGGGUAGCA